UACGUAGGGGGCAAGCGUUAUCCGGAAUUACUGGGUGUAAAGGGUGAGUAGGCGGCAUGGUAAGCCAGAUGUGAAAGCCUUGGGCUUAACCCGAGGAUUGCAUUUGGAACUAUCAAGCUAGAGUACAGGAGAGGAAAGCGGAAUUUCUAGUGUAGCGGUGAAAUGCGCAGAUAUUAGGAAGAACACCAGUGGCGAAGGCGGCUUUCUGGACUGAAACUGACGCUGAGGCACGAAAGCGUGGGGAGCGAACAGG
rnacentral:rRNA from 1 species